rnacentral:rRNA from 1 species
UACAGAGGGUGCGAGCGUUAAUCGGAAUUACUGGGCGUAAAGCGUGCGUAGACGGCUAUCUAAGUCGGGUGUGAAAGCCCCGGGCUCAACCUGGGAAUUGCAUUCGAGACUAAAUAGCUAGGGUGCGGUAGAGGGAAGCGGAAUUUCCGGUGUAGCGGUGAAAUGCGUAGAUAUCGGAAGGAACAUCAGUGGCGAAAGCGGCUUCCUGGACCAGCACCGACGUUCAGGCACGAAAGCGUGGGGAGCAAACAGG